GGUUGAUCCUGCCAGUAGUCAUAUGCUUGUCCCAAAGAUUAAGCCAUGCAUGUCCAAGUAUAAACAAGUCUAUACAGUGAAACUGCGAAUGGCUCAUUAUAUCAGUUAUAAUUUAUUUGAUAGUCUCUUACCUACUCGGAUAACCGUGGUAAUUCUAGAGCUAAUACGUGCACAAGGCCUGACUCUUUGCGGGGGAGGGCUGUAUUUAUUAGAUAAAAAACCAAUGCCAGUGAAAUACAUGGCUCUCGGUGAUUCAUGAUAACUAAGCGGAUCGUAUGACCUCGAGUCGACG
rnacentral:rRNA from 1 species